rnacentral:lncRNA from 1 species
ACGAGCGAUUAACAAAAUCGCACAUAUAGGUCUCCGGCCAGCUUUUUCCCCAGAUAACUGCUCUUCUUCCCCAGGUAUCUUCGCUUUUUACUCAGCAGAUGCGAUUAACAGUUGAGUUUGGAUUGUGCUGCUCGAUUAUGCUCUAUCGCCGUUGUUAGUAUUCUCUGUUUUAUCCGUUUCCCACUUCUCUUUUCGUGUAGGUUUCAAGAUUGUUGCAGAACUCAUUCUUCUCCUUCAAUUUCUUGUCUUUAUCGGCAAAACAAUCUGCUUACCAGGUACAAAUUUGUGCCUUCAACUGUUGCGAUUUGAGAUUUGCGAAAGUACAGUUUUUUCUGCAUAUGCGAGUCAUUUGUGAUAUCCGACUGCUGUUAAAUUGACGUGCGAUGAUUGGGUUUAUUCCUCCUCUGUUCCUUGACUGUUGUAUGAUUUUGUUCCUCUGUUUUCUGCUAUUCUUGUGAUUAUUCAGAAAUUUUAUAAGUGUCGUCGAUGCAUAUUGAUGUUUUCAUUGAAUCUACCACUAGUCGAGAUAUGAAUUCCUCUAUAUGUUUUCUGUUAUUCUUUUCAUUGUUCAGAAAUUUUAAGUGUCAUCGAUGCAUAUUGAUGUUUUCAUUGAAUCUACCACUAGUCGAGAUGAAUUCCUCUGUAUAUUUUCUGUUAUACUUGUGAUUGAUGUUUUCAUUGAAUCUACCACUAGUCGAGAUGAAUUCCUCUUUAUAUUUUCUGUUAUACUUGGGAUUGUUCAGAAAUUUUCUAAGUGUCAGUCGAUGCAUAUUGAUGUUUUCAUUGAAUCUACCACUAGUCGACAUAUGAAUUCCACCAUGUUCAAAAUAUUUGCCCGAGUAUGACAUAUAUAUUGUCUUCUAUUGUUUUGUUAGUUGAUGGUUUAGUGCGUCGUUAGGCUUAUUGCUGGUUUUUUACUUAUUACAAAGUGAGUUUUUGUGGCUAAAAGGUUCUGAAAACUAUUUUACAUCUUUUAGUCCUCCUUCUUGCCCUUUCUCGAGUUGGGGGUUCUGUUCUUCAGAAAUUGAUGGUCUACAUAGUGUUUUCAAAACGUUGAAUUUGGUACUAUGCUUUAAGCCAAGUUGAGAUGGAUUGAACUAGAUUUCACGUCGAUCACGUUAUGGGCUGAAACGACCAACAUAUCAUAUUAUGCACAAUCUUGGUUGUUGCCGAAUUAGGGUAUAUUGUGUCUACUUUAACUUUCAACUUGCAUACAAGAUCUACAUCAGGUCUAGUUCUAGUUAAUAAAUAAUCACUAGUCAGAUUAUGAGGCUAUAUCUGUCCUAAAACUUCAUAUGGCCAACAGGUAAACUCCAGCUUCGUGGGUGCUCCAAAGUGUAACUACAAUCACUAAUAGCUAAAUUGUCGAAGCUACAUCUGAUGGACAGAUAAAUCUAGAUUAUUACUUUUUGAGUUAGCAAACAAUCAGAGAGCAUAGCAACCAACAGCUUAAAUUGCUUGUCUCAUUUUACUAGCAUAGUGUGUGAGAUGCACGUAAAAACUUUAUGGCAUUGGUUACAUAAUUGAACUCUCAUGACUGAAGGUGUUUAAAGGGGAUAGGAUAGACCUAAAAUCUCGUGAAAGGAAGUCUCCUCAAAUACUUGCAAUCUCUGGGAGUUCAUACUAAGCAAACAAAAAGAAUGCAAUGGAAACAAAAAAUCCACAUACAGGAUUAAAGCUUAGUCGUGUCCGUCACUUACAUGUUAUGUUAAUAAUCUUUGUAGUGUAUUUAGAGAUUUGUACAGGGAGUUUCGUGUAUUUAGAGAUUUGUACAUGGAGUUUCUAGUUUUGGAGAACUCUGAUCUAAUGGAGUAUCCGAAUGAAACAUGUCAAAAUGGAGCGAAAACAUAGACUUAGGAUUCAUGUAGCUGACCCUAACUAGUUUGAGAUUGAAGAUGAACAAGACUGUUUUUUGUUGUACAACAACAUAGAUGAUUUUUCCUCUCUUAAUUUGCAGCUCAAGGUACAAAAUAAGUGAUUCCAGUAGUGUAAUAAUCAUCCAUAGAGUUAGUCCCUUACUCCCUUUAUCACUAGCAUCAGCCAACUGCCUAUUUUUUGCCUUUCUCUGCACAAACAUUUACAUAUCUGAUAUUGAGUAAUUCAACUAUCUUGUCGUCGUUUUUAGAGCGCUUUCUUGGUGUCUGAUCAUUUGCUUCACGCAGCCGACAAUAUGCUCAGGCUCAGCUAAUGAUGCCAUCUUUCUGAUUUCUUGCAUAAUUGUUGGUUUCAAUUUCAUAUACAUGAGAAAGAUAAAAAAUUUUAUAGAGGAAUGAUUCCCUUGUUUGAGAAAAACAUUUGUGUACUAUUCCCAAUUUUGGGAGAGCACAAUGAUCAAAUUCUAAUUUUUUCACACAAAUUGAAGUAUAUCAUUGAGGUCUAUGAGACCAGGAAAGACUGGAUUCUCUUUACCAUAAGAGAAUGACUUUAUGUAUUAAAUUUUUUUUAUAAUUUUAAACAAGAUUUGUUGGGUCCCAAACUGGAAAACUGAAUCGAGAAAAGAAAAACUGAACAAAACAGCUAUUGUCGAAUAACUGAGAAGAGAUAGAAGAGAAGAAUGAGAUAAACGAGUAUAUCCAGAACUUUGUUCUUUGUUGUACAAUAAUCUUUGAGCUAUGGAAUUACAUACUAAUAGGAUGGUUAUUUUACUACAUUUUGAUUAAUUCCCUCUUUUUACUAACGAAUUUUUAGCUCUUGCAGUAAAGUGUAGAAAAGAAAAGAAUAUCUUGAACGUCAUGGACAAUCCUAGAAAUAAAAGAUGGAUGCAUUGUGAUAGAGUUAGUAAAGAAUAUUUGGAUGGAGUAGAUGAUUUUAUAAACCAUGCCUUUUCUGACAUAACGGACCUAUGAAAAUUUUCAGAACUGGAUUCCGACCCCGAUAUCAAAAAGUCAACUCCCCAGUCAAACUUCCAACUUAAACUUCAUAUUUUCGCCAUUUCAAGCCUAAUUUAACUACGGGCUUCCAAAUAAUUUUUCGGACAUACUCCUAAGUCCAAAAUCACCAUAUGAAACUAUUGGAAUAAUCAAAACUCUAUUCUGGGGUCGUUUACUCAAAAGUCCAACUCUGGUCAACUCUUUUCAUUUAAGCUUCAAAAAUGAGAAUUGUUCUUUCAAUUUAAUCCCGAAUCUUUCGAAAACCAAACUCGACCACACCUGCGAGUCAUAAUACAUAUUACGAAGCUGCUCGAGACCUUAAGUCACUGAACGGGUCGUAAAUUCUUAAAACGACA